rnacentral:misc_RNA from 1 species
GAUCAGUCAGAAACAUC